rnacentral:lncRNA from 1 species
AAAGAUGUCCUAUCUAAUACAAUAGUUGAGUACCAAAUCGCUUUUGUUAACGGAAGAAGAAUUACAAAUGCAAUCCUUAUGGCCAAUGAAGCCAUUGAUUACUGGAAAUGUUAAAAAACAAAAAGAUUUGUCUUUAAGCUAUACAUUGAAAACGGAUUUGACAAAGCUUUUAUAUAGGAAGUUGCAUCUUUAUGAUCCCAUGUGAAAGCUUUUACCUAUGAGUUAAUUUCAUUCAUUUUAUGAUAAUGAUAUAUACUAAAAUAAGAAUUAUGUAUUGUUCACACGAGAUUGAUGAAUAUAAUUGAUACAAUCGUUAGUAUUUACUCAUUUGAUGCUUUCUCUCAAAUACAAGUUAAAACUUAGAACUUCUUGGUCUUCGUUCUUCAGGAUGUUGUAGUUGGAAGUUGAUAUGAACUUCGAUCUUCUCGAAUCCAAGGAAAGUUUAAUCUUCAAGUUUUUAGUCCUUCAGAAGAUGUUGAUCUCCAGGUUGAUACGAACUUGCACAUCUUGGGAGCUUGUAGAAGUUUGAAUUUUCAAUUCUUCAGAGUUUCAGUAAUUUAGAGCGUCAAUUCUUCCUUCAAUUCAAAAAUCACCAAAAUGAAUGACAAUGGUCUCUUCUAGAGAAAUUUCAUGGGUUGGUAGGCUUGAGCGUGUGCCCAUUUGUUUCUUGGACUUUGGCUUAGCCCUCAUUUGUUUGUUGGGCUUGGGCCCAUUUGCUCAUUGAAUUUAGGCUUGAGCCUAUUUAUUUGUUGGGCUUGGGCUCAUUUGCUUAUUCAACUUGAGCUUGGGCCUAUUUAUUUGUUGAACAUGAGCAGAUCUUGUAUCAAUCUUAUGGUUAGGAGAAGAAUGAUAGUAAAAUCAACUCAACAUCUUUAAUCAUCUCUUACAAAUAGGUGAAGAUGGAUCAAAGAAAAUUCAUUCAUCAAUCGUCUGUAAAAAUAUAUUAUUUUGUUUUGAAGCUUUCUGUCGUCGACCAAAUUUCAUCACCACUUGGUUUCAUUCCACCAAUUUGUUUCUUCCUCCGGCUUCUUUCCGUCAUCACUUUCUUUUCGUCGUUACGAUCGUCGCUUAUCUUUUUAUUGUUUAGCUUUUUUUUUUUAUGAAAAGACUUGUCGGAGAGAAGAGUUAUGAGAAAAAUAGGAAGAAAAAAUAUAUAUAUGUAUACAGAAGAGAAAGGAGAAGAAAAAAAUGACAAAUGAGAAAAGAGAAAACAGAGAACAGAGAAGGGAGAAAGAAGAAAAGAAGGAAAGAAGAAGAGAGAGAAAAAGAAGUUGGGAGAAGAAGAAAAUGAAAAAGAAAGUGGGGUUUGUACAUGAUAGAUGAUCCAACUCUAUUAUGACAUCCACUAGUGCUGCGAUUUCUUGGAUUUGUAUAUGAUAGACGAUCCAACUCUAUCAUGGCACCUACUGCUGCUGAGACUUCUUGAGUUUAUACAUUAUAGACAAUUCAACUCUAUCAUGGCGCCCACUGCUUCUGCGACAUCUUGGGUUUGUACAUGAUAGACGAUCCAACUCUAUCAUGGCGCCUACUGCUGCUGAGACUUCUUGAGUUUGUACAUGAUAGACGAUCCAACUCUAUCUGGCGUCCACUGCUGCUGUGAUUUUGGGUUUGUACAUGAUUGACAAUCCAACUCUAUUAUGACAUUCACUGCUGCUGCGACUUCUUGAGUUUGUACAUGAUAGACUAUCCAACUCUAUCAUGGUGCCCAGUAGUGCGGAGACUUCUUGGGUUUGUACAUGAUAGACGAUCCAACUCUAUCAUGUCGCCCAGCAGUGUCGUGACUUCUUGGGUUUGUACAUGAUAGACGAUGCAACUCUAUCAUGUUGCCCAUUGCUUUGGCUUUUUGGCAGCUUGAAUUUCAUGAUACUUAUUUUCUUAUAUUUUCUAUUUUCGAAAGCAAGUCAUUAGCAUUGCCUCUCCUCUGGUGAUAUUUUUUUUUUUUGUAGAAAAAUGGUUUACUUCACAGAACGAUUUGUGAAUGGAAACAGACAUCUUGUAAUACUUUCUAAUAAAAAUCAACCGAGAGAAUAUGGACUUAGUCUUCUUGUGGAGAAGAGGUGGGCUGGCCCUUUUGCAGAUUGUUGGCCACGUUUGGACAACAAUUCGAUUCUUCUCAAAUUAUCUGUGAAAAUACCUUUGUCUGAGGGGAAGAACUUAUGGGUCUUGCAAUCUUCCAUCCAUGAUGAGGCUCUUACUUCUGAAAGGGCUCUCACUCUCGGGCAUCGUCUAAUUAAAGGUCAAACACGUUGGGGCGCUGUGACUAAAGUUCGUGGAGAGUUUUGCUUUAUUGAUUGCUAUUAGGAGUGGCUAGAGUUUGUACUUGGUCAAAAAAUAGGGUAAUCCAAGCUUUAAGAUUUAUAUUUAGGCUAACUUAAACAAAUCUUAAGUCUAGAUAAAACAUCCAAGUAUAACCAUUAUACAGGAUUUUAACCUAUGAUGUCUAGGUGAUAAACCAUUUUUAUUACCUCACACCUCUCACGAAUGCUCAUAAAACUAGGUUAACUAGGCUCAAGAACUGAUUACGAUCUCCAGGUAGGAGGUGUUCCGUAAACCAUCAACUUAAGAACCUCCAACCUUAGUCAUCUUAUCUGACUUGUUGACAAGAUUGAACCAGGUGAGCCUUUUGUAACCAGUUUUACAAAAUAUCGACCUAUUUCUAUGAAAAAUGGAAGAUAUGUUUAACCUAAGUGAGCAUGCAUUUAAUCUUUGUUAUUGAUUUUAAAAGUCUAAUUUAUUUUAUAAUACUUAUAAAAUUUUUUAGACUUAAUCAAUCAUUUUAUCAAUAUAUAAACUUAUAAAAACAAUCAAUUAAUAUGGAUUUUAAUUUAUUUAACUUUAAUUAAAUCAUAUUUAAUUAAAUUAAAUCAAACAAUAAUUAAUUAAUUUGAUUAAAUCAUAUUUAAUCAAGAAUAACUUAAUUAAUUAAUCAUAUUAAUUAAUUUCCAUAUUAAUCAAUUAACAUGCAUACAAUACAAUAUAACCUUUAUAUCAUACAUUUUAAUGCAUUAACAUGUUAACCUAUGGUGGGAUUUGAAAUCUAUAUGACAUUCAAAGUGCACAUACAAAUUUAAAGUAAUUUAAUCAUGCAUCACAUGCAUAAAUAAAAAAAAACACCCUAAAAUGGACUGAUUUUUUGGCUCCUAAAUUAAACUAAGUACUAAAUUAUUACAUAAUUACUUUGAUGUAGUACAGAACCACUCCCAAAAACUUCGAUCCGGCUGAAAAACCAACCGAAACCGCUUGAACCGACCCAAAAACCAAAUUUAUUGGCUUGAACCGGCCCAGGCGCACACGGGUCGGGCGCAGGUGGGCGCGAGCGAAGGCAGGCGCGCGGGCGCGCGGGUCGCGAAGCGGGUCAAGGCGGGUUUUUGGGUCUGUGACCUUCUUUUCUUCAUUUUUUUCAAUUCUCUCACCCGGUUGAACCAAUUACAGCCUAACUUCAACUCUAAUGACUUUUUUUAUUUUAAAAAAAAUUACAAACACUUUGCAACAAUAAAAAUAAGCCAUUAACAAGGCUAAUUACAAUAAUUAGAACAAAAACACUUAAUCUAGAGCCAAAAUCAUAAUAUAUCCAUUUUAGUUCAAACCAAAAUUUAUCUAAUAAAUAUGAACCCACCACAUGCAAUUGGGUAAAAAUGAAGCAUGCUCUGAUACCACAUGAUAGAACUAAGUCAUGCACAGCGGAAAAAGAAUCGAAUUUCUACCCUAAUUACCACAAUUAACAUGUAACCAUAAACUAAUCAAAUUAGGGUUUUAAGAAAUAUUACCUUUGAAGCUUUCAAAAGGUUUGAUAUCUUCUUACCAAUUCUAACCGAGACCACCACUAGUACUCAACUGCUAUCCUCUAGACAAAGAACCGGGUUGGGGGACCCAAUUUUGGUGUAGAAAGUAAUGGAGAUAAAAUGGUAUUGGAAGGUUUCUUUUUUCUUUUUGUUGAGAUGAUGAAAAUGAUAAAAGAGGCAAAAGUUCUUCAACAUUUGAAAACACCUCUAUUUAAAACCUAAUUACAUGCAAAAAUGCAUGCAAUUCAUUUGCCAAAUCUCAACACCUAAUGUUCCACUAACAAUUAGUGAAACUUAGUGGGCUAGGUGUCUAUAUCUCAUAUAGCCACAUAUCCCACUAAGAGUUAGUGGGAAAAUCCCAAAAUGUUGGAUUUUC